ACGAGCUCCGUUUUAUUAAAGACACACUGUAACGUUUGAUCCUCAGAUGAUUUCUGCAGACAUGGAGCUUCUACCACUUCUGUUUCUGAGCUUCUGUUUCCUGACUUUGUCCGGACUGACGUUUGCUGCUGAAUCCGGGACGCCUGUGGUUGUGAAAGAAGAUGAUGAUGCUAUUUUACCCUGUUUCUUUGACACCAACGUUGAGAACAUUGAGUUAAUGAAGUUUGACUGGAAGAAGGAAGGAACAGAUCCUCGAAAGCAGGUGUUCAUGUAUGAUAGGGGUGCCCAUCACAAUAAUGGCCUCUCAGAUCAAGAUGAUCAGUUCAAAGGUCGAGUCUCACAUUUUCCGGAAAAGCUGACGGAUGGCAAUGCCUCCAUAAGAAUAAAUAACACCCGAUUGAAGGACAAAGGAAACUACACGUGUUUUUUUCCAAACAGCAAAAAAACAUUCCUUGUUGAGCUUGUUGUUGGUGCAGCAGACCCUUCUGUCACAAUUCUUGGUCACACAAACAACGGGGCGCAGCUUAAGUGUGACGUUAAGGGUGCUUACCCUAGACCUACAGUGGAGUGGCAGGAUAGUAAGAAUCAAACCAUUCCUUCUGAGGAUCAGACCCUUAAAAGAGGAGAGGACUUCUACGUCACACUAAAAACUACUGUAAGAAAGACUGACUACUAUCACUGUGUUGCCACACAGAAGGAAAUUCACCAUCGGUCACAUACGAAAAUCUAUGUAUAUUUGAAUGGUGCCCGAUCUGGGACUGGGAAAAUUACAGCUACUGUUCUUUCAGUUAUGAUUGGAAUUUUUGCUACUGUUUAAUUUUACUGCAAAGGCCGAGAUCACAACAGUAGUUGCUUCAAAGCACUUUAUAAGCUGCAUGGUCUGUCACAAAACUGAUGUAGAGCAACUGAUUGUCUUAAAAAUAAAAGACCACACAGAUGAAUCUCUCCAGUGCUGACAUUAUCCCGCUGUAUCUGAAGCUGUGCAAAGGAUGGAUCAAAACGGUAACACCCAGUGUGUUUCUGGUGUUAAUUUGCCAGCCUCACUUGGACUUUGCAUAAGUGUGUAAUCCAUCGCUUUUUUUUCCAGGUUGUAUAAAUAUCCAACAGUGUUUUAUUAACUUUACUUAGUGGGAAAAUGUAAUGAAACUGGAAUCCAGAUCUGAAACAAAUGUGAUUUAAAAUUAUUCUUCCUUUGUCAGUGCUCUAGGUCAGUGUUUUUCAACCUUUUAUGAGUCGUGGCACAUUUUAUAGAUAAAAAAUAUCCUGUGGCACAUAACUAACGAAUCUUGUUUCAAAAUGACACACUGUAGCCUAAUACAGUACAUAUAAUGGCAAGUUAGUCCCUCAGUUUGUUUAUACUCACUCAGUGUGAAACCUGGUCCUGUCUAGAACACAAAGAUGAUAUUCUGGCAGGAAUUGAAGACCCAAAUUUAACGAAGUUUUGAAGAAGUUUGCGCACGACAUCAUCCAACACAGGAGCUAGUUCUGCCUGAAAGUCUUGGCAACGAGCGCCUCGUGGUGCAGAAAACAGUGCAUAACAAUAACAUCUGGGUUUAUCGCUUUCACUCUGCUAACGAAACCUUUGGUGUGUCCGACCAUGGCUGCUGAUCCACUCGUGCAGUUGUCCCACUUAAAUCCACCUUGUUCAAGAUAUUCAGGUGUAACCCCCAAAAUUUCCUCUCCUGUUGUUUUUUCUGGCAGUGCCUUGCAAAAUAGAAAGUUUUCUCUAAUGGUGUCUCCAUCCAAAAAACGCACAUUGGCCAAGAGUUGGGAAUGUCCACUACUGUCGGUAGACUCAUCAAGUUGCACUGCAAACUUCCCACUGAUGCGUAUCUUCUCCAAAACCACACUUUCAGUGUCUGCAGACAUGUCAUUGAUACGUCUGGCAAUUGUGUUAUCUGGGAGCGGGACUCUGGCUAUUUCAUUAACCGCGUCAGGUCUGAGCAUCUCAUUCACAAUGGCAUUGUAGGCAGGUGGCAUUAAUGUCUAUAUUACGAUGUGUUUUUUUUUUUUUUGAUUUGGCUAUAAGUACAGCUACUAAGUAGCUAGGUUUGAGAGUUCUUUCAGACACCAUUGUGCUUUCUCUCAUUAAAGUUACCUGUUUCUCAGCGUGUUCACACAGGCGAACAAAAUAGCCUGUGUUCUUGUUUUGAAGUGAGGGAUGUUUUGUAUGGAGAUGACAUUUGAGCUUUCUUGGGACCAUGGCACUGUUUGAGAACUUUCCCCACACACCAAACAUAACAGAGUGGGUGCAGUCGGAUCUCCAGUGAAAGUAAAUCCAAACGAAAGAUAACUUUCGCUGUAUUGCCUUGAGCUCAUCGUUUUUGCUUUCUUUUGACCACUGCUCCUACUAGGCUCUUCUGGAUUAAAAUUUUGUCCAGGGCCCAGUUCGGAGUCUUCUAUUUUUUUUUUUUUCAAAUAUUUAUCCAUCUUUGUUGUACAUCUUGCAACUGCCACGUACCGCGCACAUCACUAAUUCUGUUGUCUUAAUUUAACAAGAUCAUAUUGCGCUACCCACUGUCACCCACUGACAUGAAAGAGUAAUUACUCUACCAGUCAUUGCAUUGAAAGCACAGAUGUCCAACAAUGAUUUUAUUACUUGCAGUAAUUAUUAAAUUGUAUUUUUGGACCAAAUAAUUGAAAUUAAAUAAUUUCCCAUGGCACACCUGAUGAUCUCGCACAGCACACCUAUGUGCCGCGGCACAGUGGUUGGGAAACACUGCUCUAGGUGUCCAUCAAUUUAAUGAUAUUUGGUUUGUAUAAUCCUGCUGACAGAAAAACAAGUGAACUGACAAGAUUCAGAAACAUAGAGCUAAGGCUGAGGAACAUGCAGCUAGUGAAAAUUGCUCCCCAAACCACGAUUCAUAUUUCUUUAGAAUUGGUUAUUCUGAAUGAUGUGUCACUGUGGUCACCUGACCUUUGAAAAUAAAAGUUGAAAUCCCCAUUGUCAUGCUGCCCAUGAAUUAUGCUUGAUGAUCAGGCUGCAUUUUCCACAGUACUUCACUGCCAUCUGUGAAUCAUCAUGUGUUGAUGAAUAUCUGAAGGUAAACUGAACUGAAAUACAUCUAACUGCUCACAGUGCUUCAGUUAAACAUGGGCACUGAUAACAAGACAAACCCCGAACCUGCUCUAAAUGAAGGUCAGCUUUUUGUGAAAUGUGUCUGUAGUAUGCAUAUGUCUUUGGUAUUAUUUUAAGCCUGUUUUCUUUUUGAAAAAUAAUUUAAAGAUAUUAAGCCAGUCUGUGAGGUAUGCUGUUCAUGAUGGAUAUUAGGAAUGUGUUCAUGCUGUUAAAUGACUAUUUCACAUCACGCCAUUUCACAGAUUGCUUAAAGGUUUCUGUAAUCAUCCAAAUAAAACAUGAAUUAAAUGAU